CCUACGGGUGGCAGCAGUGGGGAAUAUUGGACAAUGGGGGCAACCCUGAUCCAGCCAUGCCGCGUGUGUGAAGAAGGCCCUCGGGUUGUAAAGCACUUUCAGUGAGGAAGAACGCCUGGUGGUUAAUACCCAUCAGGAAAGACAUCACUCACAGAAGAAGCACCGGCUAACUCCGUGCCAGCAGCCGCGGUAAUACGGAGGGUGCGAGCGUUAAUCGGAAUUACUGGGCGUAAAGCGCGCGUAGGUGGCUUGAUAAGCCGGUUGUGAAAGCCCCGGGCUCAACCUGGGAACGGCAUCCGGAACUGUGAAGCUAGAGUGCAGGAGAGGAAGGUAGAAUUCCCGGUGUAGCGGUGAAAUGCGUAGAGAUCGGGAGGAAUACCAGUGGCGAAGGCGGCCUUCUGGACUGACACUGACACUGAGGUGCGAAAGCGUGGGUAGCAAACAGGAUUAGAUACCCUAGUAGUC
rnacentral:rRNA from 1 species